AGUGAUGCGAGUAGUUAGACACAAGAGCCAUUUUGCAACAUCAAUUGUGUAGAAUAUCCUUGUAUUGAGGCUGCGCUUCCAUAUUUCUAUUGUUGUGUGAAAGGUUUUGGAUUCAAAAUUUGCGGCAACUCUUUGAUUAUGACACUAUGAUCAUGAGGGCAUGAGAAUCAAGGCUGUGUGCUGAAAUAAUUCAAGAUAAUUUGAUCUAAAGAUCCCUCGGAUAUUGCUGGGGCU
rnacentral:lncRNA from 1 species